CCUACGGGGGGCAGCAGUGGGGAAUAUUGCACAAUGGGGGAAACCCUGAUGCAGCCAUGCCGCGUGUGUGAAGAAGGCCUUCGGGUUGUAAAGCACUUUCAGUAGGGAGGAAGGUAGUGUAGUUAACACCUGCAUUAUUUGACGUUACCUACAGAAGAAGCACCGGCUAACUCCGUGCCAGCAGCCGCGGUAAUACGGAGGGUGCGAGCGUUAAUCGGAAUUACUGGGCGUAAAGCGCAUGCAGGCGGCCUGUUAAGUCAGAUGUGAAAGCCCGGGGCUUAACCUCGGAAUUGCAUUUGAAACUGGCAGGCUAGAGUCUUGUAGAGGGGGGUAGAAUUUCAGGUGUAGCGGUGAAAUGCGUAGAGAUCUGAAGGAAUACCAGUGGCGAAGGCGGCCCCCUGGACAAAGACUGACGCUCAGAUGCGAAAGCGUGGGGAGCAAACAGGAUUAGAUACCCGGGUAGUC
rnacentral:rRNA from 1 species